rnacentral:rRNA from 1 species
GAGCUUGCUUUCUCAAGCGAGUGGCGAACGGGAGAGUAACGCGUGAGGAACCUGCCUCAAAGAGGGGGACAACAGUUGGAAACGACUGCUAAUACCGCAUAAGCCCGCGACCCGGCAUCGGGUAGAGGGAAAAGGAGCAAUCCGCUUUGAGAUGGCCUCGCGCCCGAUUAGCUAGUUGGUGAGGUAAUGGCCCACCAAGGCGACGAUCGGUAGCCGGACUGAGAGGUUGAACGGCCACAUUGGGACUGAGACACGGCCCAGACUCCUACGGGAGGCAGCAGUGGGGAAUAUUGCACAAUGGGGGAAACCCUGAUGCAGCGACGCCGCGUGGAGGAAGAAGGUCUUCGGAUUGUAAACUCCUGUUGUUGAGGAAGAUAAUGACGGUACUCAACAAGGAAGUGACGGCUAACUACGUGCCAGCAGCCGCGGUAAAACGUAGGUCACAAGCGUUGUCCGGAAUUACUGGGUGUAAAGGGAGCGCACGCGGGAAGACAAGUUGGAAGUGAAAUCCAUGGGCUCAACCCAUGAACUGCUUUCAAAACUGU